rnacentral:rRNA from 1 species
UUGUUGUGGUUAAAAAGCUCGUAGUUGGAUCUCGGCGGACUGAGGGCGGUUUGCUUGCUAGUAUUACUGCCCUAUAGUCCGUAGUUUUGCCAGAGGUUUCGGGGUGCUCUUAAUCGAGUGUCCCGGGAUGCUGGCAGGUUUACUUUGAAAAAAUUAGAGUGCUCAAAGCAGGCUAUUACGCCUGAAUAUUCGUGCAUGGAAUAAUAGAAUAGGAAGUCGUUUCUAUUUUGUUGGUUUUCGGAAAUCGACUUAAUGAUUAAUAGGGACAGUCGGGGGCAUUUGUAUUCAAACGACAGAGGUGAAAUUCUUGGACCGUUUGAAGACAAACUACUGCGAAAGCAUUUGCCAAGAAUGUUUUCAUUAAUCAAGAACGAAAGUUAAAGGUUCGAAGGCGAUUAGAUACCGCCCUAGUUUUAACCAUAAACGAUGCCAGCUAGCGAUCUGCGGACGUUUUUUUUGUAGACUCCGCAGGAAGCUUCCGGGAAACCAAAGCAUUUGGGUUCCAGGGGAAGUAUGGUUGCAAAGCUGAAACUUAAAGGAAUUGACGGAA